UUUUGUUUGGUUUUAUAAGUUAUAGUUUGAGAUGUCACAUUGUAUGUAGGUCGUGUGUAGUCUAACAGCGUUUUCUAUUGUAAUAUAAAUGUAGGCAUACUGCUCCCGUAAUCAAGUUUCCUGCUGGAGUGGGGCUGUUGAUUCUUGUCUAGCCCAUGAUGACUGAUUGAAAGGACAUUACAGGCUACGGUAUGUAACACAACGAUUAUCUUUGUUGAACUUGCAAUGCACAGGAAACACACACCACGUGAAGUGAGAUAAAAUAAUAUUGCAUCACAUUCAUAGCCCUUACUAAUACUAUAAGUAAGUCAAAUAACUCCUGAGUUCAUAGCCUUCACUGCAAUGUGUUGCUCUCGUUUUCACAGUCAAUUCACAAGUCAAAAUCAGAUCAACAGACAGGGACAUCAACCUUCUCUUGGGAAUAUGCCAGAUAUGCCAUAACAAGAAAAAAUGGUGUUUUGCCCCUGCGGUUGUGAAGAGGAUGCUGUGUAGGUGGCAGCAUGAACGUGCCACACAGACAUUGGCUAAACUACUCGGCUUCUACACUUGCCCUCAGAGUUCACAUAUGGUUAAGUGCACAGGUGUCCAUCCAGGUUCAGACUGAUGCUGGCAACAAGAGGAAAACAUGCUGAUUGGAAUGAUUCAACGAUGGACACUUUGCUUAAUUGUGGAAAAAAUAAAUGGAAAAACGUC